rnacentral:rRNA from 1 species
UACAGAGGGUGCGAGCGUUAAUCGGAAUUACUGGGCGUAAAGCGUGACGUAGACGGUUAUUUAAGUUCGGGUGUGAAAGCCCCGGGCUCAACCUGGGAAUUGCAUUCGAGACUGAAUAGCUAGGGUACGGUAGAGGGAAGUGGAAUUUCCGGUGUAGCGGUGAAAUGCGUAGAUAUCGGGAGGAACACCAGUGGCGAAGGCGACUUCCUGGCCUGUUCUUGACGCUGAGGCGCGAAGGCUAGGGUAGCAAACGGG